rnacentral:rRNA from 1 species
GAUGAACGCUGGCGGCGUGCCUAAUACAUGCAAGUAGAACGCUGAAGCUUGGUGCUUGCACCGAGCGGAUGAGUUGCGAACGGGUGAGUAACGCGUAGGUAACCUGCCUCUUAGCGGGGGAUAACUAUUGGAAACGAUAGCUAAUACCGCAUAAAAGUCGAUAUCGCAUGAUAUUGAUUUGAAAGGUGCAAAUGCAUCACUAAGAGAUGGACCUGCGUUGUAUUAGCUAGUUGGUGAGGUAACGGCUCACCAAGGCGACGAUACAUAGCCGACCUGAGAGGGUGAUCGGCCACACUGGGACUGAGACACGGCCCAGACUCCUACGGGAGGCAGCAGUAGGGAAUCUUCGGCAAUGGGGGCAACCCUGACCGAGCAACGCCGCGUGAGUGAAGAAGGUUUUCGGAUCGUAAAGCUCUGUUGUAAGAGAAGAACGAGUGUGAGAGUGGAAAGUUCACACUGUGACGGUAACUUACCAGAAAGGGACGGCUAACUACGUGCCAGCAGCCGCGGUAAUACGUAGGUCCCGAGCGUUAUCCGGAUUUAUUGGGCGUAAAGCGAGCGCAGGCGGUUAGAUAAGUCUGAAGUUAAAGGCUGUGGCUUAACCAUAGUACGCUUUGGAAACUGUUUAACUUGAGUGCAGAAGGGGAGAGUGGAAUUCCAUGUGUAGCGGUGAAAUGCGUAGAUAUAUGGAGGAACACCGGUGGCGAAAGCGGCUCUCUGGUCUGUAACUGACGCUGAGGCUCGAAAGCGUGGGGAGCAAACAGG